UUCUGGAAGCUGAGAAGUCCGAAAUCAAGGUACCAGCAGGGUCCGGUCUGCUGAGGGCUGCUCUCUGCUGUGCCCUCCAGAGAGAACAAAUGCUGUGUCCUCCAGGAGGAAGACCUGGCUCUCUGUGAAGACAUGGCUUGGAUUUAAUUGGGUUGUAAUGCACACAAAGUAAUCAAGUCAAAUCCACAAAUGGCCGUUGAGGACAACUAUUACAAGGAAAUAAGCUUGACAAAAUGCCCCUUUACUAAUUUCUGGCCUGAAAUCUACAGACCUUGCACCCCAGUUGAUAAAUAGCAGAAUUGGAAUUUAAACAGGCCUGGUGACCCAAAAACUUGACUCUAUAUCUUACCCUGAAGAAAUAUGCAAGUGAUAUCAAGCCUGAUAUUGAAACUUUAGUCCACUUCAUCAGACUUUGGAAAAAAACGUGACACUCAACAUAGCAGGUGCCCUAGACAAUGACGGAAUCUCGUUGAAAGCUCUUUAAGCUGAAAUUAAUUUAUGCUCGACAGUGAUUAAAAGAGAAAGUGAGAAGGGGAUGGAAAUUAACAAAUCCAUCUUUAUUGCUGAGAUCCCAUUAUGAUUAUAAGGAGAGAGAAAAAUCAACGUGGCGGGUGCCAGCUGCAAUCUGAUGACCUUUCAUCUUAUUUCUCAUCUGCUGGUCCCAUCAACCCUAACUUUGUAUCUGCUAAAACUCAGGAUGUGAUAGGUUAUAUUGGGCAACAAUGACAACAAUUCAGUGGGCUAAAGAAAAAGUUUAAUUUCUGCUGAUAUUGCAUAUCCAACAAGGACUGGAAGAGGGAAUCUUCACUUUGGACCCUAAAAGGUCCAGCCUGAUUUUGAAAUUUGAAGACAAAUUGAUAGGUGGAAACACGAUUCAAGAGAAGGUGAACACACCAUUGUUACUACAGACAGAAGAUGGAUUGAGGGAAGAGUGGCUUAUUUAAUUGGUGAAUUUUAGAGAAGAAAUUGAGAAUGUCUGCUACUUUUCAUCCCUCCUGAAACUACUACUAUUUUUAGAGGUGCCUAACAUGUUGACCUGCUCUUUGUCUUCUGAAUCUAAUUGGAAACCAUCUUGGAACACACAUGUUGUAUAAAAUGAGAUACCACUAUCUGCAUCUUGUGCCUUUUGUAACAAUAUAAUAAAAUUGUCAUAUAUUGAUUGCCGGAAUCAA